CUGGGCCGGAUGGAUAAGAAAAGGAAAUUGACUGACACGGAUCAGAGAAGACGUCACCUGAUGUAACUAGCACUGGUAAUAUAGAAGAAGAAGAAGGCAACAAGUCUGUAAACCGGUGACUGUAGAACUGGAAAACGAAAGACUAAAAUGAGAAAAUUAAUGAGAGUCCAAGGGAGAGGGCAAAGGGUAAAGUUCCUGGAUCUAAAGAAAGCACAAAGUCCUGGAUACUGCAAAUUCAUCUCAUCUAGGCCAAAGCCUAAGGAACAGCAGCCACUUCUAAAUUGUGAGUUACAAUUCUCUCUUCAAAUCCAAUGACUACUACUCAGCUAAGGAAUAUAUUAGCAGCACAGUGGCCUGCAUAAAUAUCCUCACAACUACAAGUCCAAGCAAGCCUGCGAGGAAUCCUGUGUCCCGGUUGCCUCUGUGGAAACUGCAUUACAGUAAAGACUGUUUCCUGAA